GGCCUAAUGGUCUAGUAGCAUGAUUCUUCCUUUGGGUGACGGGUCGCUCUGCACAAUUGGAAGAGGUCCUGGGUUCAAGUCCCAGUUGGGCCC